rnacentral:sRNA from 1 species
GUGCACCUGACUGCUCACAGCUCUCUCGUCUGCCCCUUGUCCCUGGGUGGGAGCCUGGGCCUACGACCUGAGCCACCUGUCAACUUCCCUUACCUGCAUUAUGAUGCCCAAGGCCAAGUGCCCCUCUUGGUGUCUUCUUACAGGCCACUCUGCCCUUCCACUGCAGUGCCAUCCUGGCUACAGCCCUGGACACAGUCACUGUUCCUUAUCGCCUGUGUUCUUCUCCAGUUUCCAUGGUUCAUCUGGCUGACAUGCUGAGCUUCUGUGGGAAAAAGGUAUGAAGCUUUGUGAGGGGUUGGGUCAGUGCUGAGAAAAUGUCCUAUAACGUGUUCUCUUCCUUCUCUUUAGGUGGUGACAGCAGGAGCAAUCAUCCCUUUCCCCUUGGCUCCAGGCCAGUCCCUUCCUGAUUCCCUGAUGCAGUUUGGAGGAGCCACCCCAUGGACCCCACUGUCUGCAUGUGGGGAGCCUUCUGGAACACGUUGCUUUGCCCAGUCAGUGGUGCUGAGGGGUAUAGACAGAGCAUGCCACACAAGCCAGCUCACCCCAGGGACACCUCCACCCUCCGCCCUUCAUGCAUGUACCACUGGGGAAGAAGUCUUGGCUCAGUAUUUACAACAGCAGCAGCCUGGAGUGAUGAGUUCUUCCCGUCUGCUGCUGACUCCCUGCAGGGUGGCUCCUCCUUACCCCCACCUCUUCUCAAGCUGCGGUCCACCGGGUAUGGUUCUGGAUGGUUUCCCCAAGGGAGCAGCAGUGGAGAGCAUCCCAGUGUUUGGGGCACUGUGUUCCUCUUCGUCCCUGCACCAGACCCUGGAAGCCUUGGCCAGAGACCUCACCAAACUCGACUUGCGGCGCUGGGCCAGCUUCAUGGAUGCUGGAGUGGAGCACGAUGACAUA